rnacentral:rRNA from 1 species
UACAGAGGUCUCAAGCGUUGUUCGGAUUCAUUGGGCGUAAAGGGUGUGUAGGUGGCGCCGUUAGUCGGGUGUGAAAUUUCGGAGCUUAACUCCGAAACUGCAUUCGAUACUGCGGUGCUUGAGGACUGGAGAGGAGACUGGAAUUCAUGGUGUAGCAGUGAAAUGCGUAGAGAUCAUGAGGAAGACCAGUGGCGAAGGCGGGUCUCUGGACAGUUCCUGACACUGAGACACGAAAGCUAGGGGAGCGAACAGG